CGGCCUGAAAUUUUGUCUCGAACCUCUCCAGUCCAGAAGGUGAGCAAAGUUUCAGGUGUAG
rnacentral:pre_miRNA from 1 species